rnacentral:rRNA from 1 species
GUGUAAGUGUGUGAGAGCACAU